GAUAUGUCGGUUGGUUGGUUGGUUGGUUGGUUGGUUGGUCGGUUGGUCGGUCGAUCGAUCGAUCGAUCGAUCGAUCAAUCAAUCAAUUGCACACUUG